rnacentral:rRNA from 1 species
GUAAGGAAUAUUGGACAAUGGACGCAAGUCUGAUCCAGCCAUGCCGCGUGAAGGAUUAAGGUCCUCUGGAUUGUAAACUUCUUUUAUAAGGGACGAAAAAAGGCUUUUCUAAGUCGUCUGACGGUACCUUAUGAAUAAGCACCGGCUAACUCCGUGCCAGCAGCCGCGGUAAUACGGAGGGUGCAAGCGUUAUCCGGAUUCCCUGCGUUGAAAGGGUGCGUAGGCGGGCAGGUAAGUCAGUGGUGAAAUCCUAGAGCUUAACUCUAGAACUGCCAUUGAUACUAUCUGUCUUGAAUAUUGUGGAGGUAAGCGGAAUAUGUCAUGUAGCGGUGAAAUGCUUAGAUAUGACAUAGAACACCUAUUGCGAAGGCAGCUUACUACGCAUAUAUUGACGCUGAGGCACGAAAGCGUGGGGAUCAAACAGGAUUAGAUACCCGAGUAGUCC